rnacentral:lncRNA from 1 species
GGGAAAAGCCUCAAGUCUGCAUAGAAAGCGCAUUUAAUCCUUUUUUAACUGGGUGAGGUUGCCUCUUGGGACCCCCAGUUGAUAGAUGAGAAGCACCUGACUUUGAAAAGGAACCGAACUCAAGCAGGCUGCAUCCUAAGCCCGGUGCGCAGUGACCCCCGGACCCUCCCUCCUCAGGCGCUCGCCGAUCCCGGGCCUCCCCCUCCUCAGAUUUGCCAAGUUGUUUCUCAUUAAACCUAAACCAACUCUUCAGCCGCGCCGCCUCGGGGACCGUAAGCCCCGCUCUGGUGGACGCCUGGAGUCGCCGCCUCCCGAGAGUCCACACCCCAUCUUGUCUCCAGCCUGCGCUGGGAAGAAGCUGAGGUCUGGAGGUCUUCCUCUGAAGGAGCACAGUCCAGGGAGCCACAGAAGGCUGCCUUGAGGAGUGGAACUGCUUCAGGGAUCAAUGCAAAGUGUCCCCUGUCAGGAGAAAAACCACUCAGAGGAGAGAUGGGACCUCAGUAUGUUUGCCAUGCUGGUAUCCAGCUUCUGGCCUCAAGUGAUCCUCCCGACUCAGCCUUCUAAAGUGGCAGGAUUACAGGCAUGAACCAACAUGCCCAGCCCAGAGAAAUCAACUCCUGUGUGCCAAGAUUAGAGACAUGGUCGCACUAUGUUGCCCAGGCUGGCCUGGAACUCCUGGGCUCAAGAGAUCCUCCCACCUCAACCUCCCGAAGUCCUGGGAUUACAGGUAUGAGCCAC